GACGAACGCUGGCGGCGUGCUUAACACAUGCAAGUCGAACGAAGUGGCGAACGGGUGAGUAACGCGUAAUCAACCUGCCCUUCAGAGGGGGACAACAGUUGGAAACGACUGCUAAUACCGCAUACUGAAGGAGGGGAUUGCGUCUGAUUAGCUAGUUGGUGGGGUAACGGCCCACCAAGGCGAUGAUCAGUAGCCGGUCUGAGAGGAUGAACGGCCACAUUGGGACUGAGACACGGUCCAGACUCCUACGGGAGGCAGCAGUGGGGAAUAUUGGACAAUGGGCGAAAGCCUGAUCCAGCCAUGCCGCGGGUGUGAAGAAGGUCUUCGGAUUGUAAAGCUCUGUUGUUAAGGAAGCGGUACUUAACCAGAAAGGGACGGCUAACUACGUGCCAGCAGCCGCGGUAAUAC
rnacentral:rRNA from 1 species